rnacentral:rRNA from 1 species
GACGAACGCUGGCGGCGUGCUUAACACAUGCAAGUCGAGCGGUAAGGCCCUUUCGGGGGUACACGAGCGGCGAACGGGUGAGUAACACGUGGGUGACCUGCCCUCAGCUCUGGGAUAAGCCUGGGAAACCGGGUCUAAUACUGGAUAUGACUCCAUGACGCAUGUUGUGGGGUGGAAAGCCUUGUGCGGCUGAGGAUGGGCCCGCGGCCUAUCAGCUUGUUGGUGGGGUGAUGGCCUACCAAGGCGACGACGGGUAGCCGGCCUGAGAGGGCGACCGGCCACACUGGGACUGAGACACGGCCCAGACUCCUACGGGAGGCAGCAGUGGGGAAUCUUGCGCAAUGGGCGAAAGCCUGACGCAGCGACGCCGCGUGAGGAAUGACGGCC